AUUAAGCUAGCUAGUUUUAGAAGGGUUAUUUCUUUUGAUUUGAAUAAGAACAUUAAACUUAGCUGGAAUUUACCUGCUGAAAUUUCCGACUCUGCUUAGUUGGAUGCCUUUUCUCCUGCCUCUUCAAGUUUUUUGGGUUUUUAUUUUUAUUUUUUAUGGUUGAUCUAUUUGUAAUGUCUGUGUCUAUAUAUAUAUAUGUGUGUGUGUGCAUAGGUGUAUAUAUUUGUGCGUGUGUGGUAUAAUUUAAAUAAAAAAGAAAAGUCAAAGGGUGGUGGUGGGACCCACCACCCACUCACCUUUAAUGGUCUAGAGACCAUUUUGCUUUCUCAUUUUUUUUCUUCCUCUCUCCCGUAGCUUCUCUCUCUCUCUAGUUUUCUUUUAUUUUUCUUUUCUUCUUGUAAACCAAUCUUUGAAGCUUGGUAACUUUCUCAAUUCUUGGCAGAUUAAGGUGCCGUAUGAGGCAAAACGAAGCCCACUACAAGCUCUACGCAUCCAUAUGAACAAUUCCAGAUUUGGUGCCCUCCUUGGAGUUCGAAAUUCAAGACCCAUUUUAAGGGUUUUGUGCAAAUUUGAGAUUACAUUGGAUUGAUGUUAAUGGCUUCAGCUGGUUAUGACCCUCAAGUUGCACCACUACACGAGGAGAAGACACGGGGCUUCACCGAAGAAGUUUGGUUAUCAUCUCACCCAUCUGGAGAAAGGAGAGCUAGGUUGCUCGAGGAAAACAAAGUGAUGGGAGAAGCACUUAAAAUAUACAAGCAAGUGGGGUCAAGUGCUUUGUUUAAUCCAAAUUUUCAAUAGCAAAUGGCUGAAUGCCGAUUGAGUCCGCUCUUUGUCAAACUCAAACCAAGUGAUAUUAUUACUUCAAUUUUGUGUUACUGUCAGAACUUUAUCUAAUCCAUAGGGAUAUCUCAAAAUUGAAAUCUAGCUCAGUUGUACUGCUACCUUUAUUUUUAUUUUUAUUAUUAUUAUUAUUUUAUUUUGUUGUAAAAAAGGUAGUACUGGUUACUGCAAAACUUUUACCCAGGUCUUAUCACUCUGAGGUUCAGAGUCUUUUAUUCUAUAGGAGUGUUUUUGUAUACUGUAAACAGUAGGUAAAAAAGGGAGAAGGGAGAGACGAUGGAUAAAUAGUACAUCAUCAAUGUCAAAUUUUCUGUA